UACGAAGGGGGCUAGCGUUGUUCGGAAUUACUUGGCGUAAAGCGCGCGCAGGCGGUCCUUCAAGUCAGGGGUGAAAGCCCAGGGCUCAACCCUGGAAUGGCCUUUGAGACUAGAGGACUUGGGUACGGGAGAGGUGAGUGGAAUUCCGAGUGUAGAGGUGAAAUUCGUAGAUAUUCGGAAGAACACCAGUGGCGAAGGCGGCUCACUGGCCCGUUACCGACGCUCAGGCGCGACAGCGUGGGGAGCAAACAGG
rnacentral:rRNA from 1 species